rnacentral:rRNA from 1 species
GACGAACGCUGGCGGCGUGCCUAACACAUGCAAGUCGAACGGAAAGGCCCUGCUUUUGUGGGGUGCUCGAGUGGCGAACGGGUGAGUAACACGUGAGUAACCUGCCCUUGACUUUGGGAUAACUUCAGGAAACUGGGGCUAAUACCGGAUAGGAGCUCCUGCUGCAUGGUGGGGGUUGGAAAGUUUCGGCGGUUGGGGAUGGACUCGCGGCUUAUCAGCUUGUUGGUGGGGUAGUGGCUUACCAAGGCUUUGACGGGUAGCCGGCCUGAGAGGGUGACCGGCCACAUUGGGACUGAGAUACGGCCCAGACUCCUACGGGAGGCAGCAGUGGGGAAUAUUGCACAAUGGGCGGAAGCCUGAUGCAGCAACGCCGCGUGCGGGAUGACGGCCUUCGGGUUGUAAACCGCUUUCGCCUGUGACGAAGCGUGAGUGACGGUAAUGGGUAAAGAAGCAACGGCUAACUACGUG